ACGAACGCUGGCGGCAGGCAUAAUACAUGCAAGUUGAACGGCAGCACAGGUAGCAAUACUGGGUGGCGAGUGGCGCACGGGUGCGUAACACGUAUGCAACCUACCCUAUACAGGCGAAUAACCUUUAGAAAUGAGGGCUAAUACGCCGUGGUAUUAUCUUGGGGCAUCUUGAGAUAAUUAAAGAUUUAUCGGUAUAGGAUGGGCAUGCGUCCCAUUAGUUAGUUGGUAGGGUAACGGCCUACCAAGGCUAUGAUGGGUAGGGG
rnacentral:rRNA from 1 species